GAUGAACGCUAGCUACAGGCUUAACACAUGCAAGUCGAGGGGAAACGAUAUUGGAAGCUUGCUUCCGAUAGGCGUCGACCGGCGCACGGGUGAGUAACGCGUAUCCAACCUGCCCACCACUUGGGGAUAACCUUGCGAAAGUAAGACUAAUACCCGAUGAUAUCCCUAGAAGACAUCUGAAAGGGAUUAAAGAUUUAUCGGUGAUGGAUGGGGAUGCGUCUGAUUAGCUUGUUGGCGGGGUAACGGCCCACAAGGCAACGAUCAGUAGGGGUUCUGAGAGGAAGGUCCCCCCANAUUGGAACUGAGACACGGUCCAAACUCCUACGGGGAGGCAGCAGUGAGGAAUAUUGGUCAAUGGGCGAGAGCCUGAACCAGCCAAGUAGCGUGCAGGACGACGGGCCCCUAUGGGGUUGUAAACUGC
rnacentral:rRNA from 1 species